GACGAACGCUGGCGGCGUGCCUAACACAUGCAAGUCGAGCGGGGUCCAUCCGGUAGCAAUACCGGGGAAGACCUAGCGGCGAACGGGUGAGUAACACGUGAGAAACCUGCCCCGAAGUCUGGGAUAACCCGAGGAAACUCGAGCUAAUACCGGAUGUCUUCUUCUGAUCGCAUGGUCGGAUGAAGAAAGAUUUAUCGCUUCGGGAGGGUCUCGCGGCCUAUCAGCUAGUUGGCGGGGUCACGGCCCACCAAGGCGUCGACGGGUAGCUGGUCUGAGGGGACGAUCAGCCACACUGGGACUGAGACACGGCCCAGACUCCUACGGGAGGCAGCAGUGGGGAAUAUUGCGCAAUGGGCGAAAGCCUGACGCAGCAACGCCGCGUGCGGGAUGAAGGCCUUCGG
rnacentral:rRNA from 1 species